rnacentral:misc_RNA from 1 species
GAUGAAGAACGCAGCGAAAUGCGAUAAGUAAUGUGAAUUGCAGAAUCCAGUGAAUCAUCGAAUCUUUGAACGCACAUUGCGCCCGCCAGCAUUCUGGCGGGCAUGCCUGUCCGAGCGUCAUUUCAACCCUCAAGCACUGCUUGGUGUUGGGGCGCUACGCGCUGAGCGUAGGCCCCUAAAAUCAGUGGCGGGCCUGCCGUGGCUCCGGGCGUAGUAGCAAUACCUCGCCCUGGGACCGCGGCGCGCUCCGGCCGUUAAAACCCCCACUAUACUGAAGGUUGACCUCGGAUCAGGUAGGAAUACCCGCUGAACUUAAGCAUAUCAAUAAGCGGAGGA